GUGUCUGUGUUUAUAUAAUGCAUCUAUUCCAUUAACAUUUAGACAGAGCAUUCCACCCCCCUGCUUCAUUGCUUAUCACUUGGUUAGUGAAAGUAAGAAGAAACUAUGUUUCUUGUUAUCCUGAAGAUAGCAAAAUGGAGUCCGCUCUGUUCUGAGUGACUCUGGCAAUAUACACUUUUAAUUUCUUUUUAGCACAAAAUGUCUGUUGAUAUAAAUAUUCUGACAGACUCCGGCAGGUAAUCGA